GCUCGGACAGAUGGACACCUGAAGAGCAGGAGUCCUUCCAAAAGGCUUUCCACACCUAUGGCAAGGAUUUUCAUCUCAUCCAGAAGCAGGUAAAGCCAUAGGACAUUCUUUCUACUUGAGAAGAUCAUCAAAAGGAGAUGUUGCUUCUUUCUGGUACCAAGUACCGGAACUCAGUCUCUCUCUUCUCAAGCACCAAAAAUGUUAAAGUAGUAAUGAAAUGGGAAAAGGAAUGCCUACAUGAAAAUGAUGAUCCUGCCUCUCCUGCCCUUGUGUCCAAGCUCUUUUGGAAGAUGAAGGCUUAUUCUCUCAGAGUUGUCUCAUAGGUGUGCUGGUGCUUCCACAACACACCGUGCUGGGAUAACUGGAGUGAAAUGGGGAAAGAACUGUGCUAGAUGAUUUGCUUUUGAUCUGCACAUUACAUCUGUUACCAUGUAGCAUAACACAGGGUUUAUUACAUUGUAUAAUGCCUCUCUUACUCCACAUUGAUCUCAUUUUACACCCUACUCAAUUUACUCCAGGAUUUUACUUCCUAGGUUAUACCAUAUCCUACUUUUUCUCCAAUGCACCCUACAGGAUUUUACAGUCCUUCUUUUUCUCUUCACAACAGAUUCAGAGUAAGACCGUGGCACAGUGUGUGGAGUACUACUAUUCCUGGAAAAAAGAGCGUAGGGUUGCCAGCGCUCUUGCUCAGACUGUGGACAAAGCAAAGAGGAGCAAAAGCCCUCCCAGAAAGGAGGACGGGGAGCCAGGGAAGAGAAGCCGCAAGAGGGCUCGCAGCGCCGAGUGUCCCUGCUGCCAGCCGCAGCAGCCACCCCAUUCGGCCAGAGGCCCCUUUCCCUGCGGGCAGUGCAAACGGGUGUUUGAAACCAUAAAGGAAAGGAACAACCACAGGAGAAGGCAUCGCCCACGGAAGGAAGCAGAGCCUCUCCCCAAGAAGAAAAGAGCAAAUGAGGCCUGCAGCUGUCCAGGGCUAGCAAGAGUUAGCGGUCAAGAGGACUAGAUAGCAAUAAGAUUGUUUGUUAAGUUUCUAGGGUUGUUUAUUCUUCUACUUAGUUUACUAGAUAGGAAUCUCUCCAUUUAUUAGUUAAGAUGCAUUAGUAUUAUUAACGAUGUAUUAGUAUUAUUAGAUUUACCAGUAAGUGCAAGAGGUUUGGUGUUCGCUAUCUUUUGCCCUUUUGUCUUUGUUGAGACACAAUCUGUCUUUAUCAUUAAACCAAAGUUUGCUCCAUGACCUCUUUUUGUCUGCAUGAAAUCACUCAAGCAAUGUUCGUUCCAUUUGCUCGGUGUUGCAAACAGGGCAUUUUCCCUGAGAGAAGAAUCUGGGCACUUGGAUGUCCCCCACAGGCCCAGCCCCUUGCUCAGCUGGCGGACUUACAAAGAUCUGUCUCCGUUACUGCCACUGAAAGAAGGGUGGGGUUUCAUCCUUUGAUUCCUAAAAAUCUCGGCUGCGAGUGCAAAGGGAGGCUUUGCUUAACGCAGUGGAUUGGACCUAAAGGAGUGGUCCUGUCUCACUCUACUUGGAGGGAUAAAAGCAGCGGGUUUAGUCCUUUCUGUUGCCCAGCAACAAAAACAACUUUGUUUCAUUUCGGGGGACAGAUGGACUUGACCACCUUCAAGGACUUUCCUAACCUCUCUGAUUCUAUAAAAUUCAUAUCCACAUGCACAACUAAGUCAUCAGGAGUUCAGUUUCAGUUUCUCUUUAAAGGACCAGUCUCCCGCUCUGGGCUUCACCAAUCUCCUUAGCUAAAGCAGAGCGGGAGUGAACAGGAUCCUCUCACUUCUAACAGCUUUGGUAUUUGCAGCAAAGAAGAAUCAAGCUCACUCCUUUAUCCAGCUCAGCAAAGGGCACUGCCGGGCAAGGUUCUGGUAGCAGGGGCUGGGGAGGAUGGACAGGGGCUGAGGGAGGGGGAAUUGCCAGGCUGGUUCUGGGAAGCUGACCAAAGCUUGCCCUCGUCUGAUGGAGGCCGUGGCAGCUGGUGGGAUUUGGAGCCUACAAAGUACCUGCAUUGCAGUGGGCCUUGUUACAGCUGCCCCCUCAGUUUGCUGCUGUGUGUGUAACACGCAGGCUGGGAAGGAAGCAAGAUUGGCUCCUGCUUAACGUUAGGCAGGAAAGCACUAGAACCGGCUGGGUUUUGUCGUAGCUGGGACCUAAGCAUUCAAACAAACACCAAGGCCCUUAGUGUGGAAAAGUAGUUCUGUUCGUGUUAGUGUUUUAGAGGAAUGCCAGAGUUUUGAGAUGAACAUCUAGCUUCUUCAAGGCAGCUGGAAGAUAGACAUAGAAAUCCUUCAUUAAUGUUCGCUGCAGAAAUGCUGGUGGGUUGUCCCUGUGUCUGUGUGUGUCUCCAUGAGUUCCCCAGAGACACAUCCUGUUUCUCCGAGUUUCAAGGAAGGAGUGUUGAGCUAGGAGAGCAGCUCGGUAGCCCAAAGGAGAGAAAACGUCCAGUGACAUUCUUGGGCAGCAGG
rnacentral:lncRNA from 1 species